CACAGCAUGACCAUAUGCACGAAAGUUCAUGUUCUCCAUCAGGAGAUGUUUUUGAAGAUCUGGUACAGCAAAUGUAAUAAGAAGUACUCACUGACACAAGGUCUAAUUAGAACUUGAUCUGAAGAGGCAAUAGCUUUAAGAUGAAAAGUAGUCUACAAUAAACUGAG